rnacentral:rRNA from 1 species
UACGAAGGGGGCUAGCGUUGUUCGGAAUUACUGGGCGUAAAGGGCGCGUAGGCGGUCCUGAUCGUCGGAUGUGAAAGGCCUGGGCUCAACCUGGGAAUGGCAUCCGAUACGGCGGGACUGGAGUGUGGGAGAGGUUGGUGGAAUUCCCAGUGUAGAGGUGAAAUUCGUAGAUAUUGGGAAGAACACCAAAGGCGAAGGCAGCAUCCUGGGAAGUAACUGACGCUCAUGUGCGAAAGCUAGGGGAGCGAACGGG